rnacentral:tRNA from 1 species
GGAGAGGUGGCCGAGCUGGCUGAAGGCGCCCGCCUGCUAAGUGGGUGUAGGGUUAAUAACUCUACCGAGGGUUCGAAUCCCUCCCUCUCCG